rnacentral:rRNA from 1 species
GAUGGGAGCUUGCUCCCUGAUGUUAGCGGCGGACGGGUGAGUAACACGUGGGUAACCUGCCUGUAAGACUGGGAUAACUCCGGGAAACCGGGGCUAAUACCGGAUGCUUGAUUGAACCGCAUGGUUCAAUUAUUUCAGGUGGCUUUUAGCUACCACUUACCGAUGGACCCGCGGCGCAUUAGCUAGUUGGUGAGGUAACGGCUCACCAAGGCAACGAUGCGUAACCGACCUGAGAGGGUGAUCGGCCACACUGGGACUGAGACACGGCCCAGACUCCUACGGGAGGCAGCAGUAGGGAAUCUUCCGCAAUGGACGAAAGUCUGACGGAGCAACGCCGCGUGAGUGAUGAAGGUUUUCGGAUCGUAAAACUCUGUUGUUAGGGAAGAACAAGUACCGUUCGAAUAGGGCGGUACCUUGACGGUACCUAACCAGAAAGCCACGGCUAACUACGUGCCAGCAGCCGCGGUAAUACGUAGGUGGCAAGCGUUGUCCGGAAUUAUUGGGCGUAAAGCGCGCGCAGGCGGUUUCUUAAGUCUGAUGUGAAAGCCCCCGGCUCAACCGGGGAGGGUCAUUGGAAACUGGGGAACUUGAGUGCAGAAGAGGAGAGUGGAAUUCCACGUGUAGCGGUGAAAUGCGUAGAGAUGUGGAGGAACACCAGUGGCGAAGGCGACUCUCUGGUCUGUAACUGACGCUGAGGCGCGAAAGCGUGGGGAGCGAACAGGAUUAGAUACCCUGGUAGUCCACGCCGUAAACGAUGAGUGCUAAGUGUUAGAGGGUUUCCGCCCUUUAGUGCUGCAGCAAACGCAUUAAGCACUCCGCCUGGGGAGUACGGUCCCAAGAUUGAAAUUCAAAGGAAUUGACGGGGGCCCGCCCAAGCGGUGGACCAUGUGGUUUAAUUGGAAGCAACGGGAAGACCCUUACCAGUUCUUGACAUCCUCUGACAACCCAAGAGAUAGGGCUUCCCCUUCGGGGGCAGAGUGCCAGGUGGUCCAUGGUGGUCGUCAGCUCGUGUCGUGAGAUGUUGGGUUAAGUCCCGCAACGAGCCCAACCCUUGAUUUUAGUUCCCAGCAUUCAGUUGGGCACUCUAAGGUGACUGCCGGUGACAAACCGGAGGAAGGUGGGGAUGACGUCAA